CUUAUCUCUUUCUUGAUACUUCUCAUUUUGGAAGUUGGUAAGUACAGGGUUUGCGUGUUUGAAUCCACCAAGAGUCCUAGGAACUCUAUUUGUUGAGUGGGGAUUAGAAUGGAUUUUUCCCAAUUUAUAAUGAAGCCCAAGUUCUGUAGCAAGGUUGUGGUCCAACCGAGGUGAAUAUGAAGUAAUGAUACUGAUUGGGAUAGUAGCAGGAUGUCGUCUAAGUAUAUGAUUAGACGAACUCCCCGACUGCGUAAGAGAGCGAUGACGGGCU